CUAAAACUGAUCCGCUCCUUGUUUGGAGACUGAAACAGUCUUUGUAAGACAAUGAAAGGUCACAAGAUUAGUAUUCUGAGAGGGGCCUGAAUUCUGCUAAAAUGUUGCUAACUUUGGAGGAAGCCAGCUGCCAUGUCACAAAAAGAUUCAGGAAGCCAUGUGGAGAGGCCCACAUCAUGAGGAACUGAGGUCUUUGCCAAUUACCAGCAAGGAAAUGAGGCCUCCUGCCAACAGCCACGUGAGUAUCCUACCUUGGAAAUGGACCCUCUAACUUCAAUCAGCCUUCAAAUAACUGCAGCCCCAGUUGAUGGCUUGACUGCAACCUUAGGAGAAACCCUGAGCCAAAAACAUUGAGG
rnacentral:lncRNA from 1 species